rnacentral:rRNA from 1 species
GACGAACGCUGGCGGCGUGCUUAACACAUGCAAGUCGAACGGAUUGCUUGGUGCUUACACUGAGUGGUUAGUGGCGAACGGGUGAGUAACACGUGAGUAACCUGCCCCCUUCUUUGGGAUAAGCACCUGAAAGGGUGUCUAAUACUGAUUAUUCUGCUGGAAUCGCAUGGUUUUGGUUGGAAAGGUUUUUCUGGUGGGGGAUGGGCUCGCGGCUUAUCAGCUUGUUGGUGGGGUAAUGGCUUACCAAGGCUUUGACGGGUAACCGGCCUGCGAGGGUGACCGGUCACAUGUAGACUGAGUUACCGCCCAGACUCAUACGGGUGGCAGCAGUGGGGAAUAUUGAACAAGGGACGAAAGUCUGAUGCAGCGACGCCGCGUGAGGGAUGAAGGCCUUCGGGUUGUAAACCUUUUUCGCUUUUGACCAAGGCAGCAUUUUGGUGUUGUUGAGGGUAUGAGGUAAAGAAGCUCCGGCUAACUACGUGCCAGCCGCCGCGGUAAAAC